rnacentral:SRP_RNA from 1 species
GCCGGGUGUGGUGGUGCAUGCCUGUAAUCCCAGCUACUUGGGAGGCUGAGGCAGGAGAAUCGCUGGAACCCCGGAGCCAGAGGCUGCAGUGAGCCAAGAUCAUGCCACUGCACUCCAGCCGGGGCAACAGAGCAAGACUCUGCCUCAU